rnacentral:rRNA from 1 species
AUUGAACGCUGGCGGCAGGCCUAACACAUGCAAGUCGAACGAGUGGCGGACGGGUGAGUAAUGUCUGGGAAACUGCCCGAUGGAGGGGGAUAACUACUGGAAACGGUCGAUAAUACCGCAUACCAUCGGAUGUGCCCAGAUGGGAUGAGCUUGUAGGUGGGGUAACGCCUCACCUAGGCGACUAUCCCUAGCUGGUCUGAGAGGAUGACCAGCAAAACGGGAACGGAGACACGGUCAAGACCCCUACGGGAGGCAGCAGUGGGGAAUAUUGAACAAUGGGGGCAGGCCUGAUGUAGCAAGGCCGGGUGUAUGAAGAAGGCCUUCGGGUUGUAAAGUACUUUCAGGGAGGAGGCGUUACUCGCAGAAGAAGCACCGGCUAACUCCGUGCCAGCAGCCGCGGUAAUA